UUGAACCUUGGGUUUGGUUGGUCGGUCCGCCUCACCGCGUGCACUGAUCCGACCGAAUCUUUCCUUCUGGGGAACCGUAUGCUCUUCAUUGGGUGUACUGGAGAACCAGGACUUUUA
rnacentral:rRNA from 1 species